rnacentral:lncRNA from 1 species
UCAUGAGCGCGGUGAUGUAAUCCGCCGCAGUCUCACCUGGUGAUUCUGUUCGUCGACGCGAAUGGUGACGCGCCGCACUGACGUUCACCUUGCCAUUGAAAUGACCUUCCAGGUCGAAAUGGCCUCGUCGAAAUCAUCCUGGCUUGGAGACGCCGAUGUCCCUCUCAUGGUGUGCGAUGUCACAGGGUAUGGGUCGUCCGUUGCCGUCAGAGUCUGGAACAAACGUUGUCCUUGCGAGCCCAUGCAGUUGAGCAAAAUCACCUCACGACGAAUGGCACCUGUCUUCUCUGCAGCCCAGAUAGGUCGGGCCACGCAUUACUUCUUUCGAAACUGCAGCCAUUACGUCCAGAAGCUGAAGCCGAAUCCAAGUCCUGACCUUACUAACAAGUUUCUUCGCAGCUUGUGCGAAAUAUAUGAUGUAUGCCAGGAAAAGUUUCCAAAUGCACCAUUUAAUGUAA